CAGAGCUCCCUCAUAAGAGUCACUGGACAAGGAUGAGGUUAGAAGUUCUGCCCAGAAUGAGGGCAGGGGCUUCCUUCUUGGGCCAAAUUCACUGCCUUGUGGCUGCAGGUGGACGUAUUGGUGACCACAGCUGGCGGCGUGGAGGAAGACCUCAUCAAGUGCCUGGCGCCCACAUACUUGGGCGAGUUUAGCCUCAGGGGGAAGGAGCUCCGGGAGAACGGGAUCAAUAGGAUCGGAAACCUGCUGGUGCCCAAUGACAAUUACUGCAAGUUUGAGGACUGGCUGAUGCCCAUUCUGGACCAGAUGGUGAUGGAGCAGAACACAGAGGUGGGGCUGGGGCAACCUGGAGCGGCCAGUCCAGUGGGAGUCAGGGGAGGCAUGGCCUGAAGCUCACAUCCUCUCCUAGGGUGUAAAGUGGACGCCUUCUAAGAUGAUCGCCCGGCUGGGCAAGGAGAUCAACAACCCAGAGUCCGUGUAUUACUGGGCCCAGAAGAACCACAUCCCUGUGUUUAGUCCCGCACUUACAGACGGCUCGCUGGGCGACAUGAUCUUCUUCCAUUCCUACAAGAACCCGGGCCUGGUCCUGGACAUCGUUGAGGGUGAGGCGCUAGGGCCACAGAGGAGAGGGGAAGGAGGGCUGGCUGAGUCCAAGGCCUGACUUCGGCCCUCUUCCCCCAGACCUGAGGCUCAUCAACACACAGGCCAUCUUUGCCAAGUGCACUGGG
rnacentral:sRNA from 1 species